GACGAACGCUGGCGGCGUGCUUAACACAUGCAAGUCGAACGGAAAGGCCCUGCUUUUGUGGGGUGCUCGAGUGGCGAACGGGUGAGUAACACGUGAGUAACCUGCCCUUGACUUUGGGAUAACUUCAGGAAACUGGGGCUAAUACCGGAUAGGAGCUCCUGCUGCAUGGUGGGGGUUGGAAAGUUUCGGCGGUUGGGGAUGGACUCGCGGCUUAUCAGCUUGUUGGUGGGGUAGUGGCUUACCAAGGCUUUGACGGGUAGCCGGCCUGGGAGGGGGACCGGGCACAUUGGGACUGAGAGACGGCCCAGACUCCUACGGGAGGCAGCAGUGGGGAAUAUUGCACAAUGGGCGGAAGCCUGAUGCAGCAACGCCGCGUGCGGGAUGACGGCCUUCGGGUUGUAAACCGCUUUCGCCUGUGACGAAGCGUGAGUGACGGUAAUGGGUAAAGAAGCACCGGCUAACUACGUG
rnacentral:rRNA from 1 species